UACAUGGGGUGCAAACGUUGCUCGGAAUCAUUGGGCGUAAAGAGCUCGUAGGCGGCUCAGUAAGUCAGGUGUGAAACCUCCAGGCUCAACCUGGAGACGCCACCUGAUACUGCUGUGGCUAGAGUCCGGUAGGGGAGCGUGGAAUUCCUGGUGUAGCGGUGAAAUGCGCAGAUAUCAGGAGGAACACCAGCGGCGAAGGCGGCGCUCUGGGCCGGAACUGACGCUGAGGAGCGAAAGCGUGGGUAGCAAACAGG
rnacentral:rRNA from 1 species